GGCUCUACCACAUGCUUUCCCAGUGACACUGGGCAAGUCAUUACUUCUUCCUGUGACAUCUGACAGCAAUGAUCUGAUUUUGGACAAUUGUACCUGAGACAGGAUGCCUUAGCAGUCACCUCAUCCCUUUUUUUGACCUUGCCUCGAAAUCAGGAAGCCAGGGAGAAGAGCAGCACUGCAGACGGGAAGGCAGAGACUGACACCUUGUGCCCAUGGCGCCUGGCCAGCUCUGCACCCACCGCUGGCAGGCAGAGGAAUGGCCUCCACUGUCAUCUCUGGACCUCAGCAAAACUCUCAGAGCAUCGUGAAUAAUUUGGGUGGCAUGGAAACCUGGGAGGACUCUGGUCCUACUUCCCACCCAAAGCAAGGCCACCUCUGGGAUAUCACCAGGCUGCUCAGGGCUUUGCUCGACUGGGUGUUGGAACACCCUCCAAGGAGGAAGGUUGCACUCUUGAGUUGGGCUGGGGUGCUGCUGGGCACUGGACUUAAAGAGGUUUUCAGCACAGAUGCCCAGUGAAACAGUCCAAGCUUUAAAGAUGAAAAAUGUCAAAUGGGAACCAGGGAUGGUAGCUCUGGGUGACAAGGGGCCUAGAUUGUAACCCUAUGCUAGCCAAAAGCUCCCCGCAUGACAGCGAGAGUUACAGGUUUUGGGCACCCCAGAUGCUCCCUCUAGAAAAGAUGAAUAGUCGCUCUGAAGUGACCAUUUAAAUUUCACUGCUUGAUAGAUUAAUAUCUGUAACAAGUUCUUAGAUUUAACAAAGAAAAGUGCCACAAAUGAGAUGCAAGAUUUUUCUCCUGUGAUAAUCAAGGAAAAAUAUUGCAUCUGAGCUUUUCUAUCUUUAGAGUACCCAGUUAAACUGUAGCCAGCAUGCAUUUCAUUUGUAGUUUUAUGGAACAUGUAUAUUUCAGCACUUUUUCCAAAACUCAUUAGCUCAAUCAAUUUUAAUCCAUUUUCUAUCUUCCCCCAGGGUGAACAGAGAAGGAAAGCAUAGAUAAAGGGAAGAAAUGUAAGCAAUAUUUGCAGAUGACAUCUUCCAGCAGUAGCACUUCUAGCAUCUGAUAACCUCCCACUGACAGUCUUUCUUGUGGUAAAGGCUGUAACAAACUAUUGCUGGGCAGAAGUGUCAAGCGGAUCACAAAACUCAUAGCAAACAUACACCUCAAAAUGCUCCAGGAUUUAUUGCAAGUGUAUAUUUCUCCUUUGUAUUGCCAUAUUUUGGACUCCCUAGAUCUUUCAUAAACAAAAAUUAAAUGGAGUCGUAUGUGUUAGACAAAAUAUAUGCUUUUAUGUAUAACUUCUUCAAUUAUUCUUUUGCUAUCAAUGUACCAGAAAGAGUAAUUACAUACUCAAUUACUAAAAGAGUCUAUCCAGGCUCAAAUGCUCAGCACUGUGCUGCCAGUAAAGGAUGAGAACUUUAGACUCCUCUUCCCAAAGGCAUAAUAAAUAACAGAAAGCUG